rnacentral:rRNA from 1 species
GUCCUUUUGAAUUUAAUUUAAGGUCUGACCUGCCCAGUGAUAAUUUUAACGGCCGCGGUAUACUGACCGUGCAAAGGUAGCAUAAUCAUUAGUCUUUUAAUAGAGGGCUGGAAUGAAAGGUUUAACGAGGAAUUGACUGUCUCAUUUUAUUUGUUUUAAAAUUUAAUUUUUUAGUUAAAAAGCUAAAAUCUUAUUGGAAGACGAGAAGACCCUAUAGAGCUUUACAUAUAAUUAAAUAAAUAUUUUUAUAUUAAUAUCUUUAUUUAAUUUUGUGUUUUGUUGGGGUGACAAAAAUAUAUAAAUAACUUUUUUAUUUAAUUAACAUUGAUUUAUGAAUAUUAGAUCCAUUAUUAUUGAUUAUUAGACUAAGUUACCUUAGGGAUAACAGCGUAAUCCUCCUCCAGAGUUCAUAUUUACAGGAUGGGCUUGCGACCUCGAUGUUGGAUUAAGAUAAUAAUUAGGUGUAGCCGCUUAAUUGAUAGGUCUGUUCGACCUUUAAAUUCUU